rnacentral:snRNA from 1 species
AUACUUACCUGGACGGGGUCAAUGGAUGAUCAAGUAGGUCCAUGGCCUAGGAUAGCGAUCUCCAUUGCACUUUGGAGGGGCGCUCGCAUAAGAUCUCCCCAAGUGGGAGAGUCUACGUCAUAAUUUGUGGUAGAGGGGGUCCGCGUUCGCGCGGCCCCUG